rnacentral:rRNA from 1 species
UACGUAGGGGGGCGAGCGUUGUCCGGAAUGACUGGGCGUAAAGGGCGCGUAGGCGGCGAGAUAAGUUUUGGAGUGAAAAGUCCUGCUUUCAAGGUGGGAAUUGCUUUUGAAAAACUGUCUGGCUUGAGUGUGGGAGAGGAUAGCGGAAUUCCCGGUGUAGCGGUGAAAUGCGUAGAGAUCGGGAGGAACACCAGUGGCGAAGGCGGCUAUCUGGACCAAGACUGACGCUGAGGCGCGAAAAGCGUGGGUAGCAAACAGG